UACGUAGGGCGCAAGCGUUAUCCGGAAUUAUUGGGCGUAAAGAGCUCGUAGGCGGUUUGUCGCGUCUGCCGUGAAAGUCCGGGCUCAACUCCGGAUCUGCGGUGGGUACGGGCAGACUAGAGUGAUGUAGGGGAGACGUGGAAUUCCUGGUGUAGCGGUGAAAUGCGCAGAUAUCAGGAGGAACACCGAUGGCGAAGGCAGGUCUCUGGGCAUUAACUGACGCUGAGGAGCGAAAGCAUGGGAGCGAACAGG
rnacentral:rRNA from 1 species